rnacentral:rRNA from 1 species
UACAGAGGUCUCAACCGUUGUUCGGAUUCAUUGGGCGUAAAGGGUGCGUAGGCGGCGGGGCAAGUCAGGUGUGAAAUCUCGGGGCUCAACCCCGAAACUGCACUUGAUACUGCCUUGCUCGAGUACUGGAGAGGAGACUGGAAUUUACGGUGUAGCAGUGAAAUGCGUAGAUAUCGUAAGGAAGACCAGUGGCGAAGGCGAGUCUCUGGACAGUUCCUGACGCUGAGGCGCGAAGGCCAGGGGAGCAAACGGG